AGUCAAUGAAGUGACCAUGGUUUUAUUACCUUGUAAGCAUCUUUGCCUCUGUAAAGAUUGCGAAAGUAAGCUUAGUUUUUGUCCUCUAUGUCAAUCCUCUAAAUUCAUCGGCAUGGAGGUCUAUAUGUAACUGCAUAAUUUAUUUUCAACAGUCUAAAUCUCUAAUUUUAUGUUGAAAGUUAUGUCUUGUGUUGUUGCUUAUCAUAGUUUUUGUUCCACAAUUGUAACUCCAAGUACCAUGACAACAUUGUAACUAUUUGUAAGUUGUAUUGUACUGUAAUGAACAUUACUUAUUAAGUUUAGUAAAUUUUGGAAGGAUAUAUAUUAACAUGAUACAUGUAUGAUGUGUCUGUUAUAUGUGGUCCAAAAGUUUAUGCUUUUGGAGAUAAUGGAUGCUAAAUGUGUGUCUAAAUUCAUAUUGUGAAGGUUAUAUGGGAAUAAAGAUGAGUAUGUUUGUUAAAGAUGUAAUGAAGGAAAUGAACACAUAAAUAUAUUAUGCUAAAUUGGUAAUGCAAAAAAAGUAAAAUAGAACAUUCAGGUUUUCUUUUCUUUAGAGAAGUGAUAAUAAUCAUCACUUUAAAGAAAUUUACACACAACUCUUAGGUUUCGGGAUUGAUGUUUAUUAGUUGAGCUAUGUCAUAAUGAUAUAUUUACAAUAGGGACAGCUGUAUUUCUUUUUUGAGUAAUAACAGCUGUAUUAUUUUUUAAAAAUUGAUGAAGAAAAAAUGUUAUUUUAUUUCAUUUCACAAUUAACAUGCUUUUAUAUAAUUUGUGUUUGACACUCCUACGUACAUUGAUGGGUAUUAAAUCUCAAAAUAAGGGUUGAAUAGCUACAUUGAUGGAUAUUAAUGAAAAAGUGAGAAAGAGGGAGACACGUGGCAUGAGCUGAGAGACCACCUCUAACAAGUGCACCACACUUGCUGAAGAGGGAGGUGAUGUGGUUAUGCUUUGGUGAUUUGAACAUUUGGAUAUUGGUUUGGGAAAUGAGGUUGGGAAGAUUGAUGUCCAUAAUGCAUCAUGGAUUCAUAUUGUGGUGGAUCUAUUUGAAAGUGUUCGGUUUAAUAAGAAUGAUUUUUUUUUUGUCAAGUAGUUUAGUGGCGAAACAUUUCACUUUCACCAAUAAAUGAAGUGUUUCAAAUUUCAAAACCCCAUCUAUCUAUCUAUCUACUCUCAAUCUCAUCUCUUUAUAAACCAGUAGUAGUAGUAGUCUCUUCAAAAACACCAACAACUCUCUCCUUCAUCUCACCAUACCUCUGCUUUGAGUAUCACUCUUCAACCCAUUUCUAGUGAUAGUAAGUAAANNNNNNNNNNNNNNNNNNNNNNNNNNNNNNNNNNNNNNNNNNNNNNUGUAGGAGCUACCUGAAUUAGAGGUUAAAUGAAUUAACGGUACAAAAUCCAUUAAGCUAUUCAAUGGGCUUAGUGCCUAAUUUAUUGCAACCCUUGAAAUGACUAGCAUUUUGUGGUAAGAAUCAUUCUUCUUCACAUUUGUCUCUAACUAUGUUUUGUUGUUGAAAAUCGCAAAUAUUAGAACUCAAGAGUUUUAUUCUUUACUAUUUCCAUAUAACAGAGACAAAUAGCUUUAGAUUUUUACAAAAAAAAAAAAAAUCAUUUUUUUUAAAUAUCAAACAAACAGACCCUAAAUUAGUUCCUUCACUCUUUAGCUCUGCUUAUACUAUGUCAUUUUUCAAGUGCAUUACAAUUACCCCCUCCAUAUUUUAUAAGACCCACUUUGACUAAAUGUACUAUUUAUAUGUCUUGUUUUGACCGUAUUUUUCUAAAAGUAUAUAAAUGUAAAUAUUAUUAUAUAAGAUUUUGUUUGAUUUAUUUCGAUGAAUAUUUUCAAAAUAUCAAAUUUUUAUAAUUUUUACUAAUAAACAAUUAAAGAUAUUCGUAAUUAUGUAUUGACAUACGUGUAAUGAUAAAUAAAUUCUUAUAUUUUAGAGGCUUUGUCUAACAUGACAUGGUGAACAAAGUCUUUCACCAUGCACAAUACAAUUUUGACCAUUGGAUUAAAGAGAUCUAACAUACUUAAUAUGCACUCUCUACACUGAAUAUUUUUCAUUCCCUUCUAGAAUUCCUUUACCAUUUUUUUCUUCUCGAUCUGUNNNNNNNNNNNNNNNNNUGCACUUCUUGUACGAGGGUUCUGACCGGCAAUGAAUUUUCCAGCUCCGAUGAACCGCCGGCAAAGAACUUUGGUGGUCUCGAGAUCCAAAACGAAGGAGAAAAAAAAACCCAUUUCGGAGCAUAGGUAGUUGGAGUUAUGGAAUUUUGUUGUCGUAAAAAGGAACAAGGUCUGCUUCCUUUUAAGUUGUCGCCGCCUGCUUCGAAUAGAGGACACGGUGGUUGGUGGUGUGAAGGAGAUGGUGUGGUGGCUAUUUCUGAUUCGUUUGAACUUUGAAGGAGUCAAAGUUUGUCCCAAAAAGAUUGUCUUCGACGAAGGGGUUCUGGCAAUCGACACUGGCAGCGGCGGAGCUCCGAUUAGGAGAAAGUGAAAUGGAAACUAGUAAAUAAUUAUUAUCUUUUAUCUUUUAUUAAAAAAUUUAAAAAAUGUGGUGAUGGCAAAAAAAAAAAAUCAGGUGUGUGACAGAUCAGGAUAAUAUUUUAGCAACAUUUUAAUCCAAUUGCAAAUUUUGGUCUUUCAUGGUGCAAGACAUUAGGAACUGUUGCACGUUAGACUUCGCCUAUUUUAGAACAUAAGGAGUAAUGACAUCUGAUGUGAGAAAUGGGGAAUCUAAAAUAAUUUUGCAUGAUUACUCACAUCUCACAAACAAGAGAACAAAAACAAUAAUAGUAAGGGAAAUAAGGAAUGUACCCAAAAAAAAGAAGAAAGGGAAAUAAGGAAACUAUAUUUUAAAACUUUGUAUAUUCGUUACCUUAAAAAUAUAAAAAGUUAUCUCUUUAAUUUUGUUAACAAGGUUAUCUCUUUAAUUUUGUCUUUGAUCUUUUUUUUUAUAUAUAUGCUUAAUAGGUGCAUUGGGGCACUAUUUAGCAGACCCUUUAUAAAAAUAAAGAUAGGGCUGAUAUGAGGCUAAACACGAUAGCAAGAAAUUCCUGAUUAGAUUUUCCUAUUCAAUAACAAGAAACCCUAGCGAAAGUUGUCAAUGCAGUAUAUAGUAAACAACAAAAAAGAAGAUCACUAUAUAUCAAACUACUCAAAUCUAAACUAAUAUUUUUAACUCUUCGACGCUAAAGACGAGUUUACCUCUAUAAACAUAACUGCCAUCAGUUCCAAUGAUAUUUCCUUCGAUCGUUGACUUAGAUAGGACCUUGUAGAUUUCGACCUGAGUUCAAGAAAAUGACUUUUUCUUUCGAUGUCUUUGGAAUAUCACUCAUGAUAUAGAGCUUUGAAGCACGAUCAUUCAAAACUUUAAAUCACGAGUAAUAUUCCAAAGAUAUUGAAACAAAAAGUCAUUUUCUUGAUGCGUGGCCUAGAAAAAAAUAGCCUGGUUGAAAUGUACAAGGUUUAGUUAAAGUCAACGGUCGAAGGGAAGAUUAUUGAAAAUUAUGUUGGUUAUGUUUAAGGAGGAAUUCUCGUUUUAACGGCAGAAGAAUUAAAAUGUUACUUUAUAUUUGUGUAAUUUGAUAUCUAGUGAUUUUGUUGUUAAUUAUAUUGCUUUGACAAUUUCCGGAAGGAUUUCUUGCUACUUAGAAGAAAAAUUUACUCCUGUAAAUUUUUUGCUAUCAUGUUUAGCCCCAUUUUGAUUGUUUUUGUUCCCCUGUUUGUGAGUAGCCAUGCAACAUUGGUUUGGAUUCCGCAUUUUUCACAUCAGUUCGGCAUGACGUGAGAUGUCAUUGCUGUUGGGAAAUUAAUCCCAAAACAAAGAACUCAGAAUAAUGAAAGAUGAAUGAAGAAUGAGAGAAGAAGAUGAAUUAGAAUAAACAGAAAUUGAAUAAAGAAAAAGUAAAAUCUUAUUCCAUUGCGUUAUUUACAAAUGAGAGAUUACAACCGUUUUUAUACACAAAAAUGUCAUGUAACUGACUUAACAAACUAUGUCAGCUGUAAUCACUAACUAACCGCUAACUACUAACUAAGAAAACAAAAAUGUGCAUCAGAACCAAAAGCAGAGCUUCAGAGCCUCCUAUACUUCAGAACCUAUCAACUUCAGAGGCUGCGAGGUUCAGAGACUAUAUUGUUUCAGAGGCUGAACAGAUGCUUCAACAUCUGGAUGUGAAGAUGCUACAACAUCUGGUGGAAUAGCAGAGUUUGAAUUAUAAAACCAAUAAUUGCUCCACUUAGAUUUUUCUCGUACAGGCACACAUGUUAUUAACUGCACCGUACUUUAAAGCAUUUUUGCCUCUGUAAAGAUUGUGAAAGUAAGCUUAGUUCUUGUCCUCUGUCAAUCCUCUAAAUUCAUCGGCAUGGAGGUAUAUAUCUAACUUGGAUAAUUUAUUUCAACAAAGUCUAAAUCUCUAAUUUUAUGUUGAAAGUUAUGUGUCUUGUGUUGUUGCUUAUCAUAUGUUUUGCUCCACAAUUGUAA
rnacentral:lncRNA from 1 species